UACGUAGGGUGCAAGCGUUGUCCGGAAUUAUUGGGCGUAAAGAGCUCGUAGGCGGUCUGUCGCGUCUGCUGUGAAAACUCGGGGCUUAACCCCGGGCCUGCAGUGGGUACGGGCAGACUAGAGUGCGGUAGGGGAGACUGGAAUUCCGGGUGUAGUGGUGAAAUGCGUAGAGAUCCGGAGGAACACCAGUGGCGAAGGCGGAUCUCUGGGCCAUUACUGACGCUGAGGAGCGAAAGCGUGGGGAGCGAACAGG
rnacentral:rRNA from 1 species